CAGUAGCCGCGGUAAUACGUAGGGAGCAAGCGUUGCCCGGAAUCAUUGGGCGUAAAGCGCGCGUAGGUGGCCAUGUAAGUCCGCUGUGAAAGUCAAAGGCUCAACCUUUGAAAGCCGGUGGAUACUGCAUGGCUAGAGUACGGAAGAGGCGAGUGGAAUUCCUGGUGUAGCGGUGGAAUGCGCAGAUAUCAGGAGGAACACCAAUAGCGAAGGCAGCUCGCUGGGACGUUACUGACACUGAGGCGCGAAAGCGUGGGGAGCGAACAGGAUUAGAUACCCCUGUAGUCCCUGUCUCUUAUAC
rnacentral:rRNA from 1 species